ACCAAGGCGACGAUCAGUAGCUGGUCUGAGAGGACGACCAGCCACACUGGAACUGAGACACGGUCCAGACUCCUACGGGAGGCAGCAGUGGGGAAUUUUGGACAAUGGGCGCAAGCCUGAUCCAGCAAUGCCGCGUGAGUGAAGAAGGCCUUCGGGUUGUAAAGCUCUGUUGUCAGGGAAGAAACGGUGGACUCUAAUACAGAUCACUAAUGACGGUACCUGAAGAAUAAGCACCGGCUAACUACGUGCCAGCAGCCGCGGUAAUACGUAGGGUGCAAGCGUUAAUCGGAAUUACUGGGCGUAAAGCGUGCGCAGGCGGUUGUGCAAGACAGAUGUGAAAUCCCCGGGCUCAACCUGGGAAUUGCAUUUGUGACUGCACGGCUAGAGUGUGUCAGAGGGGGGUAGAAUUCCACGUGUAGCAGUGAAAUGCGUAGAGAUGUGGAGGAAUACCGAUGGCGAAGGCAGCCCCCUGGGAUAACACUGACGCUCAUGCACGAAAGCGUGGGGAGCAAACAGGAUUAGAUACCCUGGUAGUCCACGCCCUAAACGAUGUCUACUAGUUGUCGGGUCUUAAUUGACUUGGUAACGCAGCUAACGCGUGAAGUAGACCGCCUGGGGAGUACGGUCGCAAGAUUAAAACUCAAAGGAAUUGACGGGGACCCGCACAAGCGGUGGAUGAUGUGGAUUAAUUCGAUGCAACGCGAAAAACCUUACCUACCCUUGACAUGUCUGGAAUCCUUGAGAGAUCAGGGAGUGCUCGAAAGAGAAUCAGAACACAGGUGCUGCAUGGCUGUCGUCAGCUCGUGUCGUGAGAUGUUGGGUUAAGUCCCGCAACGAGCGCAACCCUUGUCAUUAGUUGCUACGAAAGGGCACUCUAAUGAGACUGCCGGUGACAAACCGGAGGAAGGUGGGGAUGACGUCAAGUCCUCAUGGCCCUUAUGGGUAGGGCUUCACACGUCAUACAAUGGUACAUACAGAGGGCCGCCAACCCGCGAGGGGGAGCUAAUCCCAGAAAGUGUAUCGUAGUCCGGAUUGUAGUCUGCAACUCGACUACAUGAAGUUGGAAUCGCUAGUAAUCGCGGAUCAGCAUGUCGCGGUGAAUACGUUCCCGGGUCUUGUACACACCGCCCGUCACACCAUGGGAGCGGGUUUCACCAGAAGUGGGUAGCCUAACCGCAAGGAGGGCGCUCACCACGGUGGGAUUCGUGACUGGGGUGAAGUCGUAACAAGGUA
rnacentral:rRNA from 1 species